rfam:Pteropus alecto contig8996, whole genome shotgun sequence.
GUCUACGGCCAUGCCACCCUGAACAAGCCCAAUGUCUCAUCUCAGAAGCUAAGCAGGGUCGGGCCUGGUUAGUACUUGGAUGAGAGACCACCUAGGAAGACCAGGUGCUGUAGGGA